rnacentral:rRNA from 1 species
GAUGAACGCUGGCGGCGUGCCUAAUACAUGCCAGUCGAGCGAACAGACGAGGAGCUUGCUCCUCUGACGUUAGCGGCGGACGGGUGAGUAACACGUGGAUAACCUACCUAUAAGACUGGGAUAACUUCGGGAAACCGGAGCUAAUACCGGAUAAUAUAUUGAACCGCAUGGUUAAAUAGUGAAAGACGGUUUUGCUGUCACUUAUAGAUGGAUCCGCGCCGCAUUAGCUAGUUGGUAAGGUAACGGCUUACCAAGGCGACGAUGCGUAGCCGAACUGAGAGGGUGAUCGGCCACACUGGAACUGAGACACGGUCCAGACUCCUACGGGAGGCAGCAGUAGGGAAUCUUCCGCAAUGGGCGAAAGCCUGACGGAGCAACGCCGCGUGAGUGAUGAAGGUCUUCGGAUCGUAAAACUCUGUUAUUAGGGAAGAACAAAUGUGUAAGUAACUAUGCACGUCUUGACGGUACCUAAUCAGAAAGCCACGGCUAACUACGUG